rnacentral:rRNA from 1 species
AUUGAACGCUGGCGGCAGGCCUAACACAUGCAAGUCGAGCGGAGCGGCGGACGGGUGAGUAAUGCCUAGGAAUCUGCAUGGUAGUGGUGGAUAACGUCCGGUAACGGGCGCUAAUACCGCAUCCUCUCGGCUGAGCCUAGGUCGGAUUAGCUAGUUGGUGGGGUAGGGGCCUACCAAGGCGACGAUCCGUAACUGGUGUGAGAGGAUGAUCAGUCACACUGGAACGGAGACACGGUCCAGACUCCUACGGGAGGCAGCAGUGGGGAAUAUUGGACAAUGGGCGAAAGCCUGAUCCAGCCAUGCCGCGUGUGUGAAGAAGGUCUUCGGAUUGUAAAGCACUUUAAGUUGGGAGGCGUUACCAACAGAAGAAGCACCGGCUAACUCCGUGCCAGCAGCCGCGGUAAUAC